rnacentral:rRNA from 1 species
AUUGAACGCUGGCGGCAGGCUUAACACAUGCAAGUCGAGCGGUAGCACAGGGGAGCUUGCUCCCUGGGUGACGAGCGGCGGACGGGUGAGUAAUGUCUGGGAAACUGCCUGAUGGAGGGGGAUAACUACUGGAAACGGUAGCUAAUACCGCAUAACGUCGCAAGCCCAAAGAGGGGGACCUUCGGGCCUCUUGCCAUCAGAUGUGCCCAGAUGGGAUUAGCUAGUAGGUGGGGUAAUGGCUCACCUAGGCGACGAUCCCUAGCUGGUCUGAGAGGAUGACCAGCCACACUGGAACUGAGACACGGUCCAGACUCCUACGGGAGGCAGCAGUGGGGAAUAUUGCACAAUGGGCGCAAGCCUGAUGCAGCCAUGCCGCGUGUGUGAAGAAGGCCUUCGGGUUGUAAAGCACUUUCAGCGAGGAGGAAGGUGGUGAGCUUAAUACGUUCAUCAAUUGACGUUACUCGCAGAAGAAGCACCGGCUAACUCCGUG